rnacentral:rRNA from 1 species
UACAGAGGUCCCGAGCGUUGUUCGGAUUCAUUGGGCGUAAAGGGUGCGUAGGCGGCGGGGAAAGUCUGAUGUGAAAUCCUGGGGCUCAACCCUGGAACUGCAUUGGAUACUUCCUUGCUAGAGUACUGGAGAGGAAACUGGAAUUUACGGUGUAGCAGUGAAAUGCGUAGAGAUCGUAAGGAAGACCAGUGGCGAAGGCGAGUUUCUGGACAGUUACUGACGCUGAGGCACGAAGGCCAGGGGGAGCAAAACGGG